rnacentral:misc_RNA from 2 species
UAUCAGGUUGAUAGGCUAGAAGUGUAAGAAUAGUGAUAUUUUCAGCUGACUAGUACUAAUAGAUCCAUUGACUUUAUUUUUUGAGUAAAAAACGUUUGUUUAUCUAGUUUUGAAAGAAC